GAUCUCUCCUCCUAAAUUUUUGUUUGAUUUCUUCAAUCAAAAGCUCUCUACGACAAACUGCAAAUUCUUCUCCAGAAUCUGCGGCGGAUUCCCUUAUCGGGUAUUCGAUUCCAAAUCGAGACUCCUUCAUGACUCAACAAUUGUUAUAACUAUCUUCUUCUCUGUCUCUACCCACCUCAAGCUCCCUGUUAUCUCGGUGAGCACUUAACAUUUGAAGACGCUGAAUACGUUGUGGAAUUGUUCCAUCAAAUCUCAUGCUCUGAGGAUCUUCAGAAUAAGCUACAUAGUAAGCCAAUACACAUGCCUGUAGCCACGCCAAACCUACCCUUCCCUGAAAACACUCAAAACCAGUUAAUGAAGAGACAGCUCCAACAGAAACAGCACUGAGAAAACAGAAGGAGCUAGUGAGAUCCGAGUCAAUCAGUUUCUCCAACCCUGUUGUGCUUCUGAACUUCUUCCAGGUAUCACUCGAAGCCUCCAUGAAUCCUUUAUCAUAGGUUCCAACAUGUACAAAGCCCCAUCUGUUUCCAAGUGUAAUGAGUUUGUUAGCAAUGGUAGAGAAGCAAUCAGCACCUGAAUACAUGACCUCAUCGCUGCUCCCUGACAUUAGAUUAACACUUCUUAUUGAUCCUCUUAUGAAUACGAUGAUUGGAACAAGCGUCGAGCCAACGCAGAUGCUCCCAGUCAAGUGUUUCAUAGUGAUGCGGAAAGCAUUCCAAGCGUCCAUAUCUUCUCCAUGUGCAAAGUUUACAUAUCUCGCCCGUGAAAUCGCAACUUGUUGAACAUUCUUGAUAACUUGCAUCGUCCAUGCUAAGCUUAUUAUGAUUACGGAUAUGAACAAGAUAUCAAGAUUUGUUCUAGUGGAAGUUGCUCCUCCAAUUCCAGUCACCAAGAAACCAGAGUAAACGACACUGACUAUGAUUGAUAAGCAGACUACUUCUCUGGUUCUUGCAGGUGGAAAUGCUGUGGCAAGUGAUAAUAUUUUAUCGGUGUACUCAAGCCUCGGAGUAAUCCAGCAACCAUAGAGGGACUGAGUAAUGGCGAAAAGGACAAACACUGCACCUAUACCUGCAUCUACCGCUGAGCCAAUCAAAACAAGCAAGAUUCCUACCGAGCAGGUGAGUAUUGGACUAAGCCAGAACGUUGCUUUGACUGCUCUUGAUGGAUUGUAGAUAAAGAUGCAUUGCCAUGCUAAAGAUGCAAUUCCUGAGACAGCAACAGAUGCUAGUAAAGGAGGGUACCAUUUCUUGAGGUGGAAAUGGUGUGUACUUGCUGAGAUGAGACCGCGAAUGGUGAGAACGAUCACCAAAAGUGAGAUUAAGGUUAGUUGUGAGAAGAGAAGACCCUUGAAAAGAGUUCUAAAGAGUUUUCCUGCUAUGGUUUGUUGUGUUGUUGGAGGUGGUCUACCUUGUUGUUCCUGCAAAAAAAAAAAAAAAAAAAAAAAUGGUGUCUCAUCAACAGGUUAUUCAAAGCUGGUUAAUGUGAAUUCGUUAUGAACAUGCAAGUAAAAAGCACCAUGAAGAAAACAAGAAGAGACAAAAGAGAAGCUGGGUCUUGGUUUUGUUCUUGAGUCAAGAAAUAGUGAUGGAAGUCAACGAGAGAGGAUCAAAACAGAUAGCAUAAAGUAGAAAGCAAAACAGAACCCAGAGAGAGAGAAGAUACAGAGAUCAAGGUGUUUCCUGAUUCUUGAUUCAAAAGAGAGAAAUACCUUGAAGGCGAUUGGAGAAGAAGAAGGAGGAAGAGGAGACAUUAUUCUUGGUUCUUGAAUCUGCACGCGAGAGGCAUGACCGUUGCUUGUUGGUGUAGGCAUAGAUGCGUUGUAUUUGCCAGGAGUGUUCCUUGAAUCCCAAGUUCCACUUAACCAUCUUCAUCAAUCAUCAUUCUUCUGUUGUAUAUAUAUAUGUAUAUAUACAUACAUCUUUGUCAAUAAGUUCUAUCAUUUUGUUGAUGUUUUAUUAAAUGCAUUUCGAAUAUUUAUUAUACAUACUUUAUUCCAUUACUUUGACU
rnacentral:lncRNA from 1 species